UACGUAGGGUGCGAGCGUUUGUCCGGAAUUAUUGGGCGUAAAGGGCUCGUAGGCGGUUUGUCGCGUCGGGAGUGAAAACCCAGGGCUUAACCCUGGGGCUGGCUUCCGAUACGGGCAGACUAGAGGUAUGCAGGGGGAGAACGGAAUUCCUGGUGUAGCGGUGAAAUGCGCAGAUAUCAGGAGGAACACCAGUGGCGAAGGCGGCUCACUGGCCCGGUACUGACGCUGAGAUACGAAAGCGUGGGGGAGCAAACAGG
rnacentral:rRNA from 1 species